GGGCUUAUUUGACUUGGAAAAAAGAAAGAGAAGGAAGAGAGGAGGGAGCAGAUGAGGGGGAAGAAGAGAAGGAGAAAGGUCAGACGUCUUUAGAACAACUUGUAUGUAUUAAAAAGAAAAGUUAAAGGCAUUUUCACAAGAGGUUGGAGAAGCAGGGCUGGGAAGUCAUGGAGGCAGAGACCUACACCCAUCCCCCUGCAGGAAUCACUGCUUAGCAAGCCAUGCUAGGGCAUUCACCCCUGGAGCCACGUCACCACAGCUGAAAAUUAUCACCAAAGCGGUGGCCGCAGACCAUGCACCAUUGAG